UGAGCAUCCAUCUCAACUGACAUGCCUCAGCACUGCCUCUAAGAGACGCAGCGGAAAUAAGGACUGCUAAGAACACAGUGAUCCUUCCAACAUUACUGAGCCAUUCAGGAUUACAGCUGUUAAAUGCAAGCACGAGCAGG